rnacentral:tRNA from 1 species
GAUUAUUUAGUUUAAGGGUAAAAUUCUAACUUGUCAUGUUAGUAGAUAGGAGUUCGAAUCUCCUAAUAAUCU